rnacentral:rRNA from 1 species
GGAAAGUUGCAAAGCACUUUGAAGAGAGAGUUAAAGAGGACGUGAAACCGAUGAGAUCGAAACGGAUAGAGUCAGCGUAUCUGACCUGUAUUCAGUCACACAUCUGUCAGUCGUCAUGUGUUGAUUUCCAGACUGGGACAGUGUGUGGCUAGCUGAUUGUUGUGUGGUGCAUUUGCAGGUGGAGUGCGUCGAGACGCUCGGUGUGGCGACAUGAGCUCAGUUUUGAGGCCAGCUUGCUGGUACCCGAAUUGGAGGAAUGUUGUUCACGCUGAGUGGAAUUGGCAAGGCCUACGAGUCCGGUUGGGCAUCGAGCUGGCAGUCGGCGUCGGUCGCAUGCGACACGUGCUGUGCAGUCAGUUCGGUCCUAGUCGAGCUCACAAGCCUAUUCUCGGCGUAAAAGCUGGUCAUCUAUCCGACCCGUCUUGAAACACGGACCAAGGAGUUUAUCGUGUGCGCAAGUCAUUGGGCGUUGAAAACCCAAAGGCGCAAUGAAAGUGAACGCAUCCGCAAGGAGCUGACGUGCGAUCCCGGGUACUGCGGUGCCCGAGCGCAGCAUGGCCCCAUCCCGAUUGCUUGCAAUGGGGUGGAGGAAGAGCGUACGCGGUGAGACCCGAAAGAUGGUGAACUAUUCCUGAGCAGGAUGAAGCCAGAGGAAACUCUGGUGGAAGUCCGAAGCGAUUCUGACGUGCAAAUCGAUCGUCUGACUUGGGUAUAGGGGCGAAAGACUAAUCGAACCAUCUAGUA